GUCCAUGCCGUAAACGAUGAUCACUAGCUGUUUGCGAUAUAAAGUAAGUGGCAAAGGGAAACCAUUAAGUGAUCCACCUGGGGAGUACGCCCGCAAGGGUGAAACUCAAAGGAAUUGACGGGGGCCCCGCACAAGCGGAGGAACAUGUGGUUUAAUUCGAUGAUACGCGAGGAACCUUACCUGGAUUUAAAUGGGGAGUGACAGACUUAGAGAUAGGUUUUUCUUCGGACACUCUUCAAGGUGCUGCAUGGUUGUCGU
rnacentral:rRNA from 1 species